UUAACUCGUAUGGUACGCACAGCAUUUUUACUUGGUUUAAAGUCUUUUUUGGUUGAAAUCACUAAAUUUUUUCACACUUAUACCGGCCUCAACGUUUUAAACCCAAAGAAAAGAGAAAAAAUAACAGAGGGAAUUCUGUUUACCACUGCAACUUCUUUUUUUAUAUUUCAAUCUUUUAAACUUUGCUUUACUUUUCCCCAAGAAAGUUGUUUCAUCCCACUUCGGAAGAUUUAAAAAAGAAAUUUGAAAAUGUGAAAGAAGAAUUUAAUAACGUUGCUGAAGAAAUGGGAGUCAAAACGCCCUGCAUCUCCUUUCACGUUGGCAAUACCUUUAAUUCAUACUCUCAAGGCUCAAUUAUAUUUUGUACUGCAAGUCUUAUAGUCUCUCGCCUACUUUUGAACGACGAGUUGGAGAGCAUUACUAUGGAUAAUUAUAUGGGGAAUAAUAGGGAAGCUUGGACCGUUUUAAAAGAAUCCCUUAAAACUACCCGAAGACAAAACCGCUUUGUCCUUUCGCAUGAACUGACCCACAUUGCGCAGGAACACAGCCUCUUUUGGACUUUAUAUCAACCUAUCAGCUUGUUGGCAGUCCACCAAUUAUUAAAACGGAAGACUCUUUUUUUUGGGAGCCGCCCAUUUCUUUCUCUUCUGUCCGCCUUGCUUAUGAGCACAUGCAGCUCGCCUUUCCUUUUUAAAUAUUUAGAAAGUAGGGCGGAUACUGCUGCAUUGUUUUCCAAAGAGAUGUGUCUUGGGGGAUUGACUCAUAUUGAUCGACUACUCGAGCGCAACAGAGCUAUUAGAGCUCUUGUUAAAGCUAAUUCUGCUGUGGACUCUGUUCUCGUUAUUAAGGCAAUAUGACCACUAUAUAUGAAAAAAUUUACAUCGGGAGAUGAUUGAGAAAAACUUUCCCCUGAACCUUAAAUUUCCUAAAAAGAGCAUUUACGUGGAUAAUUAUCAUCUUCAAGAUUAACAUAUGAAAACAUUCUGAAGCAGUUCGAAAAAAGUGAAUCAUUAGUUCUCUUGUUUGACGGACGUCCGUCAGUUAAGGGCGAAUCUCACUCCCUUUUGCAGUCUAUUGGUCUGCCGGCUGUUGUAUGAUCAGAGCCGCAGUGCAUAGAUAGCAUUUAACAUUUUAAAACUUGACCUUUUAGCCUAAAGUACUAAUAUUACUUACAGGCAACUGGUUACUGGCAGCACACAUUGGUUAAAACUUUCUUGCUCUUUAUAUAUAUCUCCAUUAAUAAGGUCAUAAACCGUUCAGAAAGCGAUGAGGUUUCUAAGUUAUUAUUUUUUUAACACAAAUACUUGUUUCGGUGAACUAUUUUUAACAUUAAAGUCUGGGAUCCGCCCCUCUGGUGAGCACCUCUUCAGUUAUUCUCAUCCCUCAUAUCGAAAAAGAAAAGAAAAGAUGCUGAAGUUACUAGAUAAAUAUUGCGGAGAUGGAUAAGCGUAGAAUUCUGUGCUAAAAAUUUAUGACAGUAGUCCAUAAAACACAGGACUUUUCGCAUUAAAAAAAAUUAUAGUGAGUAUAUGUGGAGGCGUUCUUUCUUACAAUUAUAAUAAUAAUUUUUGUAAUCCACUUUUUAUUUAAGCACAGUUUAAGCCGACUUCAUCUUUCCUGUGAGGGGAAAAGGGGUUUCGGAAAUAUAACGUUCUCUCUUGCUCUCCUUCUCCCACUAACUUUUUUUAUCCCGAGCUUGUGUGGUGACGGAGGAAGCUUUUGCUCUAACUCACAGUUAAAAUAAAUUUUGGUACGGACGCUAUUCAAGGUAAUGACUGUAGAGUUUAGUACUGCCUGAGUAGAUAUAGUAAUUUUUAAAACCUGUAGAUUCUAUUAAACUUAACCAUAAUAUGUACUCCCGAAUAAAUUGUAUCUGAUAAA